UACGUAGGGGGCAAGCGUUGUCCGGAUUUAUUGGGCGUAAAGAGCGUGUAGGCGGCUGGGUAGGUCCGUUGUGAAAACUCGAGGCUCAACCUCGAGACGCCGAUGGAAACCCUCCAGCUAGAGUCCGGAAGAGGAGAGUGGAAUUCCUGGUGUAGCGGUGAAAUGCGCAGAUAUCAGGAAGAACACCCGUGGCUAAGGCGGCUCUCUAGUACGGUACUGACGCUGAGACGCGAAAAGCGUGGGGAGCGAACAGG
rnacentral:rRNA from 1 species